GUUGCAAAAAAAUAAUACGAAAAAAUAUUGACGAACAAUCCCUACUUUUGUAAUUUCAUUAAUCAAGGAAGAAAAUACGAUAACCUUAUGGCUAAAAUCCGUAAAACAUGAACUUUCGACAUUUUCAUCUACAUCGAAAACGGUCAGCACUAUCCGCUCUUUCUGUUAGUUAGCAGGACUCUGACCGUACUAUUGUUUUACCAGCUACGACGGUUGUUUCGUCAGAUAGUACCGGGUCGACCAGCAGGAAACAGUCUGUCCAAGCCGACCAUUCCCCUCACAGAAGUAUAGGUACUCUGAAUCUGAUAGUCGAUGACACUGUAAUCGUAUCAUGGAACAAUAAAGGACUUCAACGUGCAAUUGUCGCGAUGGUCAUUAAUAAUCGAUCCGCAGCUACAAUCAGUGGGUCAAACAGAAGAGCUGCCUCACGGCCCAAGGCUUUCCAGACGUUACCUAGUGUUCCGUCGUUAAAGGAUGCAUCCGGUUGACCAUCGACAUUGGUGAUACUUUUAAUUACUUUAAUUAUCCACUGCUGGGGUGAAUGUUUACAGACGGACGAAAGGAGAUUUACUAUACAAUCCGAAAUUUCAACUAAUUCUGCUGGCGAAUCCUCAUUAAAUUUCGCAUAACGGUAACAAUUGCUGGCUUCCGGCUUAUGGCAAGAUUUGAAAGACCAUAUGGGGCAAUUCCGGCAUGUUUGCAUCGACCAUGCGUAAACAAAGAUGGAGCCCAUUUUAGAGCUGCGCCAUUAAUAAUUAUACAAUUUAUUACCGGGGAAUGGAACGGGGAGAAUCGGACGACAGCGACGACGGAGAUGUAAUUAGAAGAGCAAAGGUCAAGUGGAUUGUACAGGAAUCGCUUGCUGACCACAACUAUACUGCGAAAAGCGAUGUCUCGGCAAUAACAAUUACAUUUUCGCAAAGUUCCAGUGCACUGCAGCUGGGAUACUUUUUGCUCAUAUAGCAACUUUUACGCUGCACAAUUCA